rnacentral:lncRNA from 1 species
UCCUGCCUGUGACAGACUCGUUUGCUUGCUGUUUCUCCAUUGUGAGCGAUGAAUGAGGUCAAGUCUGAUUUCUUCCACGAAGCCUUUCCUCACCAGCCGAGGUCACAGAAAUCAAUCUUUUUUUCUAAAAUGCCAUCGGAAAUGUGAUACCUCACUUGUGCCACUUAGAAUGACUCAUGGCCCAAAGUAGAGUGCAAGUUCAGCAAUAGGAGAGGCCAAGUCACAUUUAUCUUUGAGUCUCCCACCGUGUCUGUUGCAAGGUCUCGAAUAGAGUAAGAUUAAUGCAUAUUUGUUGAUGACUAUGUGCAGUACCCAGAUGUCAAUUCAGGCCUUUUA